rnacentral:rRNA from 1 species
AAUGGGCGCAAGCCUGAUCCAGCCAUGCCGCGUGAGUGAUGAGGGCCCUAGGGUCGUAAAGCUCUUUCGCCUGUGAAGAUAAUGACGGUAGCAGGUAAAGAAACCCCGGCUAACUCCGUGCCAGCAGCCGCGGUAAUACGGAGGGGGUUAGCGUUGUUCGGAAUUACUGGGCGUAAAGCGCGCGUAGGCGGAUUAGUCAGUCAGAGGUGAGAUCCCAGGGCUCAACCCUGGAACUGCCUUUGAUACUGCUAGUCUUGAGUUCGAGAGAGGUAAGUGGAAUUCCGAGUGUAGAGGUGAAAUUCGUAGAUAUUCGGAGGAACACCAGUGGCGAAGGCGGCUUACUGGCUCGAUACUGACGCUGAGGUGCGAAAGUGUGGGGAGCAAACAGGAUU